AAUCAUUGCUGGUUGAUGUAAAACGCAUCACUACCGGUGCGCCAGCGCGGGAAUGUCGCCGCAGACGCCAGAUUUUAAAAACUAUCUAUACUGUUUAAUACAGAGACAUUUACCUUGCGGUGAUAGGCUUAAUCAGCAUUGUGUAAACUUGUUUGGCAAGGGCUGGAAUGUAACGGACGUUAAUGUAUAUGUAAAAGCCCUGCACUGUAUGUUUAAGCUACCAUGUGUUCACACAUUCACGUGCCACACUUUACGUGCUAACUCCUCUCAAACAGUACUGCUUCUGCUGCUCCUGUACUGAACGUAGCAUUUGGAAAACAAGCCAACUGUCGUGUUGUGCAGUGAGGAAAUUUCCUGCUGCAGCUAGCUUCAGACCUAAUCCAUCCCAAGGGCUCCAAUGAAAUGCCAGGGCAACGCUGCUUCUGUGUGAUGAUCCUCAGCUGAGUCUACACGCUCUCUCAAAGAAGUGACUUUCUCUGUCGACGCUCUCAAACAGUAGGACCAAAAAGCGUGCUGGACUUAAGUGCUCUUUGGAGUGACAGGCUGACUGAGAGGACGUUGCUUCCUGGAUGUGCUCCAAGCAGUUCUUAUUACAGGCUUUUCACCAUGUCACUGUGGAGGGAUUCUUACAAACUGUACGACAGGAAACACCCAUUCCUCUGGAUGCUUCUGGAAAACACUGUGCUGUGACUUUUCUUGUUUUCUUUCUAAUUUUUCAACUAACUAUCCUGGACACUUUUUUUGGUGAGGAGAAGAUGUUGAGGAACUGAUUCAAACUGUAAACACUUCUAGUUUUCAGUUUUACUGCCUUUUUAAAGAUAGAGAUCAUAACUAAUGGUGAGUAAUAUAGAAAUGUCAAAUUUUGGGUGAACUGACGUUGUGUGUGUCUGAGUUUUGGAGGGGUGUAUGUUCGCCCCCGUAGAGAGACAAAAGGUUUGAUUUGCAUGUGCGUGUACAAACAAAACAAUAUGCAAGAGUGAUGUCAGGUGCGAGAAGAAUCAACAUAGUUUAUCCGUGUUAGUCGUGCUCUUAAAUAAACGUCAAAGUUACUCUGUGAACGCUGCGUGUAACUUUUCACCAGUGCAGGUGUCACCGAGAUACGCAGAAUAUCAAAUGACACAAGGCUCUGAACUGACAAAAUGAUAUAUUUUAAAUGAUAAUCACAGUUUUAAUAAGUUGUGACUUUACAUUUUAAAUACCUGCACUAAUAUCACAAGACUGCACACAGCUUUGAGUGCGUCUGAAGCGACAUGCCUCCCUGUAAAUCCGUUACACAAUAUGUAAAAUUAAGUUGAGUGGAAAAUAAGAUGUUGGAUAAUUACUCAUGGUGUUAUAGAGGAGCAAACGUAUCACUUUAUAUCCUCUUAAGAAUUUAAAACACACCCGUUCGUUCAAUUUCAUGACUUACAGAAGAAGAUUCUCAGGAUAGAUUUAAGUUAUGUAGAGAUGUAAUUAAAAAAAACAAAUUAUUAAGCAACAAAAUUGUCCACAGACGUAUUUAGCCUCCUUGUUGUUGUUUCAUGGGUGUAUCGGCCAAGAGGUGGUGGUAUUUACUUGGAUCCGAACGUGUGUGAGACACUUGGGUACCUGACACAGUCAGUGUUUAGGUUGAGCCACUAGAUGUCAGCAUUCAUCAACAUAUGAAACAAAAUUAUAGCACUUCUUUUUUUUUUAAUUUCCAACAUUCAGACCAAAUUCAGCUUAUAGCAGAACAUAUGUACGCGCUGAAGUGCAUAUGAAUAUAAGUCUUAACAAUGGAGAUAUAAACAUACCAUUAAGGUAUCAUCCAACAGUAAAUCAUAGCAAUACAUGGAUGCAAUGCCUUAGACAUGUUUUAAAUAUUUUAAAGGAUUACACCACUUUCACGUGCCAUAAGUCCACAGCAGGCAAAUUGGUCUAAAGAGCUGUUUGUUAUGUUUUGUUUUGGCCUUGGCCAAGAAUGUUUGACUGUAGAAUUGAAUUUAACUGCAUGUCACAGUAAAGGUCUGUUCUUAAUCAUAGAGAUACUCUUACCACGAGAUGGCAAUCGCACAUAAUGAAAAUCCGUGUGUGUGUGUGUGUGUGUGUGUGUGUGUGUGUGUGUGUUGGGGGGGGGCAUGGAAGGUCCCGGGUGUUAAUGCUCUCCACAUGGAUGUUUUGCAUAUAACUAGAUGUCUUUACAUUGGUUUGUUUUGGGUUUUGUCUGUCUCCGUCCUACAUGCGCGUGCAUCUGUUCAUUAACCUGCAGUAUUUAUUGAAUAUCUGUGUGAGCGGAGCUGGAUGUUUCCCUGCUGGAGGUCCUUGUUUGUUUGGUUUAUUUGCAUGCAGCGAAGUGGUUGCUGGCGGUGCUGGUCACUACAAGUGGCUGGCAUUCGGAGCCUGCUAAUCAGGCUGCGGGCAAACUGGGUGGCAGCGCUCCGAAUGGUUUGCUGGAGAUUAUCCCAAAAUUAUCCAUGAAUUAUCCCCCAGAAUUACGCCAUUCCAAGUCAGGCCUUGUCCAUUGAUGGGACUGGGAAGAGAGAGUGUUGGACGAGGAAGUGUGUAUGUGUGUGUGUGUGCAUGCGUUGUCGGGGGGAGAUUUGGAUGGAGCAGUGUUGGUGUCUGUGUCAUGGAGCGUAUAUUUCUCUGUGUGUGUGUGCUCUGUAAUGAUUCUGGCAGUGUUGGUACAUUGGGGUAAUGGAGCAUGUUAAUCCACAUCAAACAGCUAUUAGCGGCAGAUUUUACUCAUAAAAGUCACUAGUUGCAGUAAGAGGAAAGACACAAAAUGAACGUACAAUCUUGCAACCUGUGUACUUUAUUUUACUCUUGCAGUCAACCAGUGGUUUGUCGCACCAAAAAGAAAUACAGUUGUGCUUGUUAAGCCCUCUAAUUAUCUAUUAUCAAAUCCCCAAAUCUGCAACAAAACAUCUAUGUAAAUGUGUAAAAUUUUGUAUCUCAACAUUUUCACAAGACAUUUAUUCCCGAAGCUAGACAUUUUUCGAGCCAUUUGGAGCAUUGUAUUAAACUCAUUUCUGUGUAGCUGCUGUCAGCACACAUUAUGCUGUCAUUAAAGUCUGGGUUGAUAGGAGGGACUAGUUGCCUGCUUGUGUGUGGCUGCUGGAGACCCAGGAAGAUGAAUAGUGCUGGUGAACCUCUCUGCGAUAAGUGUUCGGUAAACAGGUCAGUGGAUUGUCCUCCGAGGCUCAGUCUGAGCUAUUUUCCCUGACUGGGAACACAAAUUAUCCUCCGUAUUCAUCCCAUAAACAGACCACCAGUGGCGCAGAUUCCACAUAGUUUGUUGUGGCUGUAUUUGCGUACUCAGUCACUGUGGGGUUUUUUUUUUUAUUUUUGGUGCUUGGCUGAAUGUAGACAGGACUACUUGUACAUGUGAAUCACAAUAUGGGAUAACACAUGCACGCUUUUCACCCACUCAACAACAACAGUCCAAAUGCAGUGCUGGCGAACAGAUGAAAGCACAACUAUUGAAGAUGAGAAAACAAUUAGACGUAGAGCGGGCACAAGUGGAGGAUCACAGUGAAACACGCACUGGCAAGGAAGAGGAAAACAGUGAGAGGCAGAGGGGCAAAGAGAGGGAGAGGCCAAUGUGGCGAAAGGUUAAGUACUCUUUUUUUUCAGAUGCUGUAAUUCCUGCAGGGCCUUGUUCCUUGACCCGCCGGUUAGAAGAGGGAGGUAAAAAAAAAAAAAAGGGGAGCGAGGGAAGGAAGGAGAAAAGGCUAAAGCUGCAUGUGAGGUUGCAAGGUGAGAGGUGGAAGAGCUAAAAUGGGAGGAGUAUUUGCCUCUGGCUGAUGGGGAACAAUUGGACACACAAGGAGGCACGCACACACACUCGAAACCAGAAACAAAAAUGGACUUUCUCACACACACACACACUUAGCACUACAGUCCCAGCAGGCUAUGAACUUCAGUGCAGUUGUUGCCAUGGCAAUACACUGAGUUGCUGACCCCCCGACUCCAUUUUUUCCUGCCGCUUUGCUAUUGAAAGAGAUGAUUGACAAGUGUCCAAAUGUCAGCCGACCCAGCCGGCCACACAGA